AAGAAAGUAUGCAAGAACUGCUAACUCAUGCCUCCGCGCUUAAACCCGUGGCUUUCUUA
rnacentral:tRNA from 1 species